UCCCCUGUCAGUGCGGUAAACACAGCCACCAAGGGCUGCAGCCCACAACACAUUCACAGCUCUGCAGGCCCUCGGGGCCAUUCCUCCCGAUUAACUGAUCACCUUUCUUCUGUCCUGGUUCUUCUAGCUCCCCAACAGCAGAGCAUCGGCUCUCACUGCCAUCUGGCUCAGCUCAGGAGGACCAAAGUCCACCUAUGCCUGGAAGGCUGCCUGCCUAACUGCGUCUUCCCAGGACACCUAGUCACCGGGAUACACGGCAUCCCAAUUUAAAAACGAUGGAAGCAAGACCCAGAGUGUCUGGACGUUGCAUAACACAGUAAACUGUCUCUGCGGUCUUGCAUCUGAGCCGCUGCACCAGGUCUGUUGCUAUCCCUUCAUCCAGACCAUCUCUACUGCACAGUGGCAGGUGUCCUGCUCAGCCAGCAGCUGAGCCCCAAGGACGCUUGUCCUUUGCAGCCAUGUCAUAGUGGCAGUUAGACUCCAUGAUAUGCUCUGACCCUGCGGAAAACACCCGGGGCAGGAUGCCCUCUUUGAGUGCUGACUGGAGGUGCAGAAAAACAGCUUCUCCAAUUUCCUCACCUGGAGCACCUGGAGCCUGUGCAGGAAACCCCGGACCAUCCAUGAAUCUGUCCUAGGAUGUGUCACAGACCCCCUAGGUCUUGGUGAAGCCCUUGCCCAUGUGCUCCAGAGGGGUGUCUUACUCACAGGGCUUGACGUCUUCACUAAAGAAGUCCUCUCGUCCAACUGUGUGAUACAUAGCACUCAAUUCUGCCAUCCCUGUUCCUUGAACCACCCAGGUGCACAUGAGAUAUAACUUGCCCCGCAUCCUCCAAGGGCCCUGGUCCAGCAUUCUCUGGUAACAGCACUCAACAGGUUCUCACAUACGACCCACAAGAAGGGUGUACCUUACUCAACAUGGAGAACCCCAAUAAACUCAGAUCGCUUGAGCCUAGUGUUCACCCAGCAAUCAGUGUCACUGGCUGCUGCCUCUGCCCCAACUUCUUGGUCAAAGCACCUGUCACCAGAUGGCUUCACACCAAGGUCAAUGGCAGGGUCUACAGUGCCCAAACAUGCCAGUGCCCAAGUUAUGACCGUUCCUGUUUGUGACGCUGUCCACAUGUCCCCCAAAAUCUGCUGGUGUGUGUGAUCCCGUGAGGAAAGAGGAGGUGACAGGAACGGAAAGGUACCUGCCAUACAGUGUUCCCUGUGAGGCAUGCGUUGCAAGAAUCACCGUUGCAAUUUGACAGUGGAGGAAGCUGAAUUAGUGACCUGUGCGGGACCACAUGGACAGUGAGAGGCAGGACUUCAGGCCUCAGUAAUAUUUUACAGUCCAGAACUUUGGAUGCCCUGAGCCUCGGGGAGCAGAGGAGGCACCGGAGAGGUGGAGGCAGAGCAGUGAACUGUGUUGUUCCACAGUCACAUCUGUUGUGUCAAAUUUGAUCUCUGUUCGCACUCACGAAUGCGUGUGAGAUGAAGAUGAGGAGCCAGGGCUCUCUCGCUGCACGCAGGACUCCAGGCCAGCACCGUGGUUCUGAUGCUGAAAUGUACAUCCCAGCCUCCACCAUGGACUGAUCUAAUACCUGGUACUCCAUAAGUACUCAAUAACAGUCUUCAGAAUGAAAGAACACACGUCGUACUCAG